UGCUAGUCGUGCGAAUUAGAUUCGCGGCAGAUAGCUCAGUAACACGUGGCCAAGCUACCCUUCAGACCAGAAUAACCUCGGGAAACUGAGGCUAAGACUGGAUACGGAACGCCUGCUGGAAUGCAGCGUUCUCCAAACGCUUCGGCGCUGAAGGAUGCGGCUGCGGCCGAUUAGGUAGACGGUGGGGUAACGGCCCACCGUGCCAAUAAUUGGUACGGGUGAUGAGAGUCAGAGCCCGGAGACGGAAUCUGAGACAAGAUUCCGGGCCCUACGGGGCGCAGCAGGCGCGAAACCUUUACACUGCACGCAAGUGCGAUAGGGGAAUCCCAAGUGCGAGGGCAUACUAGCCCUCGCUUUUGUUGACUGUAAGGAGGUCAACGAAUAAGAGCUGGGCAAGACCGGUGCCAGCCGCCGCGGUAAUACCGGCAGCUCGAGUGAUGUCCAAUAUUAUUGGGCCUAAAGCGUCCGUAGCUGGCCAGCCAAGUUCGUCGGGAAAUCCACCUGCCCAACAGGUGGGCGUCCGGCGAAAACUGUCUGGCUUGGAACCGGAAGGCUCAGAGGGUACGUCCGGGGUAGGAGUGAAAUCCUGUAAUCCCGGACGGACCACCGAUGGCGAAAGCACUCUGAGAAGACGGAUUCCACAGUGAGGGACGAAAGCUAGGGUCUCGAACCGGAUUAGAUACCCGGGUAGUCCUAGCUGUAAACGAUGCUCGCUAGGUGUGGCACACGCUACGAGCCUGUGCUGUGCCGUAGGGAAGCCGAUAAGCGAGCCGCCUGGGAAGUACGUCCGCAAGGAUGAAACUUAA
rnacentral:rRNA from 1 species